ACAGCACCGCGCUACCGCCGCUUCCCGGCCCUGGCCACGCCGCCGCGGCGGCUCCGCCUCUCGGGUGAGAGGUCAGAGGGAGGGAGCGGGCAGCCGCGAUGAUGGCGGCCGGGACAGCCGCGGUGGUGGCGGCGGCCGGGCCGCCGCAGCCCGGCGCGAAGGGGAAGCCGCGCCGGCGGCGCGCAGGAAAUAAGCAUUCAGCUGCUCUGAAGAAUGAAGAUGCUGCUCAAAGGAAAGCAGCACUGGAGGUUGCUAUGAGAAAGAAGAUUGAAUUUGAGAAAAAAGCAUUGUAUAUUGUUGAACAACUCCUAGAGGAGAACAUUACUGAAGAGUUCCUUCUGAAUUCUGGAAAAUGUAUUACUCCAUCUCACUAUAAAGACAUUGUUGAUGAACGAUCUAUCAUCAAUCUAUGUGGUUAUCCUCUGUGUCAAAACAAACUGGAAAAUGUGCCAAAACAGAAGUACAGAAUUUCAACAAAAACAAACAGAGUUUAUGAUAUCACUGAAAGAAAGUGCUUUUGCAGCAACUUUUGCUAUAGAGCAUCUAAAUAUUUUGAAGCUCAAAUUUCCAAAAGUCCAGUAUGGAUGCGAGAAGAAGAAAAACCACCAGACAUAGAGCUGCUGAAGGAGGGACAGAGUGGACAGUCUGGAGAAGAGGUGAAGCUACGUGAUGAAGUAAUUAAAACAUCUGACAUUGAAAAUCCUAGGAUAUCUUCAAAUCCAUGUGAAUCUGGUUCUCAUGACACAGCCAGUGACAGCAGUAGUGAUACUGAACAAGAAUUUGUUUCUUCUGUCCUACCAGGACGUCAGUCAAGUUCAGCCAAUUUUGCACAGCAAUUGGACAAAAACAGCAUCCUCAAAAAGAAGUAUGCUCAGAAAGUCUGUUCCAGCCCUAAAACUGAAGACUCAGGUGUGGUAGAAGCCACUGAACAACUGUCUAGUUGUAAAUUAGAUACUCUGGAAGAAAUGCAUACUUGCUGUGUUCAUAAUAAAAUAACUGCAAUGCCUUCAAAAAAUAGUGCUCCAGGGAAAUCAAGUGCUUCAGAAAGCUAUCAGAAUACCUGUGGUUCACAGAUAGUUUUUCUAAGUGUGAGCAAAAGAGGGGCAGAACAUCUUAAAAGAACCCUAGCUAACUCAAAAGAACAUAAAAAAGCUGAACUGAGGCAUCCAGUCAAUUCCAAAGGCAGUUUAUUAGAAGUGCUUAAGCAAACACUUAUGGAAUGGAGAACUGAAGAAACUUUAAAAUUUCUCUAUGGACCAAACUAUACUGCAUCAGAGUGCCUAUCAUCUUCCAACCAGGAGAAUGAAGAACUUGAUGAGGAUGAUCUAGAUACAGCUGAUGAUCUUAACACUGUUGCUAUAGGGGAGUCUGAAAACAGUCUGAACUAUGCUUUACCUUUCACAGGCCCAGGUGGAAUAGUUAAGCCUGUGCCUAGUUAUGAAAAGUUAAAAGAAGAAACAGAGUUCCUAGAACUCAGAGUAAAAGAGUUCUAUAAAGGAAAGUAUAUCUUGGCUGAAGAGGCUGUGACACACAUACAAGCAGAGGAACAUCCAAGCAAAGACAAAGAUGAUCAACCAGAAGAUCUCACCUUCCCACUUGUUGAUUCAAAUGCACAAAUGCAGAUUAGAAAGCGAAUCGUCCUUGAAAAACUGAGAAAAGCAUUACCUGCAGUUUUGGGCCCUCUUCAGAUUGUUCCGGGUGAUGUUUACACAGAGCUAAAAAAUCUUGUCAAAACUUUCCGGUUAACAAACAGAAAUAUUAUUCACAAAAUGCCUGAAUGGACUCUAAUUGCUAUUGUUUUGUUAUCUGUAUUGUCACAAAUUACUCCACUUUUCAAGAAUACUCAGACAAGCCCAAGGUACACACAGUUCCUGACUACGUUGCUGGAAGAACUGCAUUUCAAAAAUGAAGAUCUGGAAAGUUUAACAAGAAUAUUUAGAAAGGACUGCCUACUUGAAUGAAAAAGGUGAUCAUCUUAACGUCUCCUAAUAUCUGAAAUAGUGUCACAGAGAACAAAAGAACGCCUUCAAUUGUUAGAACAUUUUUAAAUGAAAAAUGGAAUUUAGUAUUAAUUGUACUCUUGCGCUUUUGCUUUUUCAUUUCCUUCCUGUGAAUAAGAAUUUUGAAGUCUUGUGGAGAAUCUGACUAUAACAGCAGUUGCCCAAGGUAGUACUUCACUGUAGAUUCUGAGCAAGCUAUUGUUCUGUUCCAUUCAUGUUUCCCUUGGGGUAUAAAGAUUACAACUACCCCAUGACAAUGCUGCUAUACAGAGUACACCUGGAAGGCAUUACAAAUGUACAUCAUACUGGGAAUAUGACUGCUCCAUCAGGUUCAAUGGCACUUAUUUGGAAAGUUUUUACACUUCCUGUCAGUUUAGUGGUGUGAUUUUUUUUGUUAGUUAUUUUUAGGCUUGGUCUUCAGCACUCACUGUGUAGGAAACCUAUGAUCUUGUAACAAGAGUGAAUAGGUCACAGGCCUCAAGACCUCUUUAUCAGGGUUCACUGUAGCUGCUUUUACUGUCUGCCUUAGCAGCUAAAAAAAAGUAAGCUUCCAGGAUUUUUGCAUCUUCUCCUUGACUACUGUGUAGUAAGCUCACUCAUUCUUUUUCUUACCCUAAGAGAACAGAAUAACCUUUUUCCUUCCAUUACAUUCACCAGUCCAGAAGAAAGACUUCUAUAAUAUACUGGAAAUGACCUGAAGGGAUAUUCUUCGCUUACCUUUAAUGAUUUCAUCUCCUGUAGUUGUGAGUAAAGCACGUGUAAAUAAAUGCAGAAAGUAUACCCAUUACACUUUUGAGUACAAGAAGGGCUGUAGACUCAUCUCAAAAGGAUUUUCAUACUAUCAGCCUUAAUUGGUUGUACAAGGCACCAAAAAUAACUGAGAUAGAUGAGGUGCAUCUGUGACUUCAGAGGCUGUGCCCACAUAACAGAUGGAAGAUUCACCUGUAUUUUCACUCUUCAGUCCCAGUGAGUAGGUCUUGGUGGGGAAGUAACAGUCCUGGGAAUCUUGGUGUUGAACCUAUAUGUCCCUUUCUCCCACCAGUUUGAGAGAAUCUGGACUCUGCAAAAUGCAAGAGGGGCUGAGCAGCUCAGCAGGACGUUAAGUCUCAGUUGACCUUUAACUGCUGGAGAGAAAAGGACUAACGCAUCAGAGAGAAGAAAAAGGAAGAGAGAAGGGGAAAGCAGUAUUCACACGUUCUAAAUUUAGGCAUCUAACCAUAGCUACCUGCCUAUCUCCAUUUACUUCAGAGAGAACCAGUACUCUUAAAUUAAGGUUCUCCAAAUCAUACCUCAGUGCAAGUGUAUGAAAUGGGUGGUAUUAAUGCCUCUGACCCUAUUCCCUGUUGGCAGAAAGAAAGCUGAAAAGUCAGCUGAGAACUUUGACCAUAGUAGAUUGGCUUUCCCUGGAGUAAUUUAUUUAGUAGUAAAUUGUGGCACAAAACUGAUUGGGGACCUGCCUCUGCAAAGUGGGAAGUUUCUAAGCAAUCUGAUCCUAUUGUUCAGUUAUUUUGAUGGCUGCUACUUCACACAGAUUUUUUCUUAACCUGUAAGAGUUAAAACCAAAAGAAUUAAUAUGAGUGGCAGUACUCAGGAAGAAAAAUAAUGCCUGUGUGUUGCAAGGACAUCCAGGAGGUUACACUAGUUCUACCUCCAAGCUUUCCAUACUUACUGUUUAUUUCUGCGGUUGCUUAUGAACACUCAGUAGUGUGGGUGGGGUUUAGCUUGUUCUCACUGGGGUAGCAGGUAAUGAACUGUCAUUUCCAAUGAGCAUUAAAUAUUGAAAACACAGAAUCAGCCUCUCUUUGGCAAGUCUUAAGUUUCCAUAAGCAGCAGAUGGUAUACAAGGCAGGGCUAGGCACCUAUAAAGACUCUCAACUGUGUAUCUCUACCACCUGACAGCCAGUCCUCCUCUGAUUAGAGCCAAAGGAAGUGGGUGUGCCUUCCAUGAUCAAAGACAGAAAGUAAUAUUGCUAGAGACUUUUCCUCUUGUGAGCUUUCUUUUUGUGACUCUUCAUCUUAGAACCACUUCUCUGCACAGACUGCAGACAAUGCUUUGGGAGACGAGCUGCCUGAAAGGUGCUGUAGAACGUGAACUGUGGCAUUUGUGGUGCUGAACAGGAUUUGGCGAGGUGGGGGGAGAGAGCUGGCAACCCGUGUCUUCAAGUAGCUCUCAUUUGAGCACUCUGCUUUCGAAAAGCAAGUGAAAACAUACAUCACCUUCAACGGCUGAUCUGGACAUGCGUGAUAAAUGUUAAUCAUUCCCCCUUGGUUGCUUGCAGAUGCAGAGCAAGGAGCAAGGCAACCUGGAGUUCUGAAAAAUAGACAAGAAUAGCCAAAAAGAGUAAUAACUAGCAAGAAGAAAAAUGAAAAACAAGCACAAGCCUUCCGAAACUAUUCUUGUCCUGGAAUAUGGGCGAUAUUGUGAAAUACCUUUUGGGCAUCCUCCUCAAAAUAGUAUCCUCAGUACAGCAUCAAGUCUGGGGCAGCAUUAACUGUUGUGGCAGGGCUGGAAAGGCCAGAAACAAAGCCCACCAGCUUUCAGACCAGUGUUUCUUAGAUCUGCAGGCCAUGUUUAUCUGCCCAGUGACUUUGCCACCAUAGCUGACUGCAGAUAUAAGUCUUAGACUUAGGAAGGCUUAUCAAUCAGAAUAAUGCAGUAAGGGUGACCCCUGCAACAUUUCAGAUGUCCACCUGUUUGUUGAUUUUACUGUGCUAUCCUGCAGGUACCCCAAGACAACGGCUCCCUAAUGAGUCCCUUCUCCAAGACCAGACUAGAGCUGACACAUUGGUGAUCAUCAGGCAGUUGCAUCUUGCCACUGUGAAAACCUCCCCCUUAGAAGUCAGUCUCUAGAAUGCUUCGGGAGCCUAUACUUUAAAGGCAAAGUCUUCAGUGCGUUGCUGCAGGCUGUUAUUACCUGCAGGAGCUGCAUGCAAAGAUCAGAGAACAAAGCCAGUGGGGCUAAUGACUGGAACAUCCUGCAUCAUUGCAAGCCACAUCAAAUCAGUGCUAUUUCUGGCACUUUUUAGCCUCUUAAAUUUCAUGGGGUAUGUAACUGAAUUGAACACAUUGUGGGACAGCAGCAGCUUCCUGGAGAGCCCUGCACUUUGGUUAGAAUUAGUCAUCACUACAGAGUUUGAAGGACUUUGGAUACAGCUUUAAUAAGCUGCAAACACUUAGAUCACGAUUUACAUCAUAAAUCUUGCCUUUUUGUUCUACUCAAAUGGGAGUGUCUACAAAUCAGGUUAAUAUAAUUUAACAGUACAGUAGUUAGGUAACAAAAAAGAUCAUAAUUGGUAGUAUUAUCUAAGAAGCCAGAACAACCCUGCUUACAGCUGCCAGCUAAGAUCUGACUCAUCUAAGGUAUUUUAUAGCAACCAUAUGUUAGGCAUGUCUAUCUCACCUACUAUGCAAAAAAAUGAUAACGUUUCCUAAUCAGGAUUUGCCACUGAGCAGGAUUUUCCGUAAACAUCUCAGUAUUGCAGGCGCUAUCCACAGUCAGGAGAAAGCCUUUUGCAGACAUUUCAGAUUUGUUAAUUUAACAAAUAGAAUAAAUGUCUACAAAUCUGGGGCUAGUACUGAUUCAGCAAGGCUGGCUGCAGUUCAGAGUAUAGGUAUGUUACUUUGGCAGUUGACAUGUUAAAACAUCACUUAAGAAUUCUGUGUUUGAAAGUAACAUCAGAAUACCUGCACUUCUUGUGCAAAAAAAAACCUGGGUGUUUCAAAUUGAAGACACAGUCUUGAAGCAGGAACAGCUAUGUGAUACAUUAAAAAUACUUCACUGAGAUGGCACAAGCAGAGUUGUAUUGGUAUAGCAUGUUUACCUGCAUAGGCAGAAAAGAGAGGGUGAAUUCAUACCAGUACAGGAGAGAAAGAUUAAAAGUUAAGUCUGAAGAUACUAAGGUCUUUGACAACAGUGCAGUUGGUUAAGCUGGAAUCAUCACUGCAUUUUAACAAGAGCAGACACUUGUAAACCCCAUUGGCUGUUGAUUUUUGAGCAAGUUUUACAUCCAGUUCACUGUCACACAGAAACACUGCCUAAUCCUCUGCAGUCUGAUGUUCGUUCUUGCACAAAGACUAGUUAAAUGUACAUCAGCCUUAACUAUUGCUAGGCUCCUGCUGCAUUAUCUGAGUAGUCUAAAGGAGUAAUGCCAGGGAUGAAGCUGCAGUCCCGACACUCGCUUCUGUUCUCAAAAGGACAGUAGUUUUAUUACUUAAAGCUCUGAUGACAAAGCUCCUGUUAAUGCAAAGGAGAGCAAACACUUGACUUGGUAAUUAUAUACCUUGUUUAGGAAUCACAAUCUUUCAUUUUUUUAAGAGAAGCCCUCCACUUAAAAGCUUCUUUGAAUACAUUUGUUUUUUCUGAACUGUGGACUGUCACUACAUUUAAAAAAAAAUUAAAAAAGUAAAAAGCAAAGUAGGUAUUUUUGCUGCAUAAGAUCCUUGGUUCAUUAUAAAAUUUCACAACUAGAAAUGUAGUUAAAGUAUUUCUUCCUUAUUAUUUCUCCGGAAGGCAUUUAAGAACUUGGAAAAUAAAUGAUUUUACAGGUACCAUAUUAGCCCUCAAGAGCUCUGGGUCAAAUAUUUGUCAUCUCUGCUAACUAUUCAUUUCUAAGAUCCUCCCAAGCUCUGCUUUUUUGUACACUGAACAUCUGAUGCUUCUUGUUUUUCCUUCUGUAACCACAGAUGUGCCCUCUUCAAAAAACUCACAAUCUCAAAAUACUAAACUGACAAGCUGAGUGUCAAACCACACACCCCAAGCAGCAAGCAGUGCUGAAGAAAAACAGAAUCACGCUUGAAGAAAAACAGAAGAAAUCACACAAAUUCUUUCCAAAGAAUGAAUCUGAAAUGUUUUCAACUCUGCGCAGGCAUUGUUUCUUAAGAAUGCAAAUGCCAUUUGAUGUUUCUAGUUUUCAUGCUCACUUACUGUAUCAGCAGGGGCUGCUCUCGGAAAGAAGAGAUUAAUUUGAACACUGCUUUA